rnacentral:tRNA from 1 species
GGUUCCAUGGUGUAAUGGUGAGCACUCUGGACUUUGAAUCCAGCUGUCCGAGUUCAAAUCUCGGUGGAACCU